rnacentral:rRNA from 1 species
GAUCCUGGCUCAGGAUGAACGCUAGCUACAGGCUUAACACAUGCAAGUCGAGGGGGAAACGAUAGAGAAAGCUUGUCUUUUUCUAGGCGUCGACCGGCGCACGGGUGAGUAACGCGUAUCCAACCUGCCCAUCACGUUGGGGAUAACCUUGCGAAAGUAAGACUAAUACCCAAUGACGUCUCUAGAAGACAUCUGAAAGAGAUUAAAGAUUUAUCGGUGAUGGAGUGGGGAUGCGUCUGAUUAGCUUGUUGGGGGGUAACGGCCCACCAAGACUACGAUGGAUAGGGGUUCUGAGAGGAAGGUCCCCCACAUUGGAACUGAGACACGGUCCAAACUCCUACGGGAGGCAGCAGUGAGGAAUAUUGGUCAAUGGACGCGAGUCUGAACCAGCCAAGUAGCGUGAAGGAUGACUGCCCUAUGGGUUGUAAACUUCUUUUAUAUGGGAAUAAAGUUGUCCACGUGUGGAUUUUUGUAUGUACCAUAUGAAUAAGGAUCGGCUAACUCCGUG